rnacentral:rRNA from 1 species
ACGAACGCUGGCGGCGUGCUUAACACAUGCAAGUCGAACGGAAAGGCCCUGCUUGCAGGGUACUCGAGUGGCGAACGGGUGAGUAACACGUGGGUGAUCUGCCCUGCACUUCGGGAUAAGCCUGGGAAACUGGGUCUAAUACCGGAUAGGAGCCAUUUUUAGUGUGAUGGUUGGAAAGUUUUUUCGGUGUAGGAUGAGCUCGCGGCCUAUCAGCUUGUUGGUGGGGUAAUGGCCUACCAAGGCGGCGACGGGUAGCCGGCCUGAGAGGGUGGACGGCCACAUUGGGACUGAGAUACGGCCCAGACUCCUACGGGAGGCAGCAGUGGGGUAUAUUGCACAAUGGGCGCAAGCCUGAUGCAGCGACGCCGCGUGGGGGAUGACGGCCUUCGGGUUGUAAACUCCUUUCGCUAGGGACGAAGCUUUUUGUGACGGUACCUAGAUAAGAAGCACCGGCUAACUACGUG